rnacentral:rRNA from 1 species
UACGGAGGGUGCAAGCGUUGUCCGGAUUUAUUGGGUUUAAAGGGUGCGUAGGCGGCUUUUUUAAGUCAGUGGUGAAAUACAGCAGCUCAACUGUUGAGGUGCCAUUGAUACUGAGAGGCUUGAGUACAGAUGAGGUAGGCGGAAUUUAUGGUGUAGCGGUGAAAUGCAUAGAUACCAUAAAGAACACCGAUUGCGAAGGCAGCUUACUAAGCUGUAACAUG